rnacentral:rRNA from 1 species
AGAGUUUGAUCCUGGCUCAAGACGAACGCUGGCGGCGUGCUUAAUACGUGCAAGUCGAGCGAGGUUAUUACCUCAAAGUCCUUCGGGAUGGCGAAGUUUUAACCUAGCGGCGGACGGGUGAGUAACGCGUGGGUAACCUACCCUGAAGUUCGGGAUAACAGUUGGAAACGAUUGCUAAUACCGAAUGGUCUUAUUUUUUGGCAUCAAAGAAUAAGUAAAGGAUACGCUUCAGGAUGGACCCGCGUCCCAUUAGCUAGUUGGUGAGGUAAUAGCUCACCAAGGCGACGAUGGGUAGCCGGCCUGAGAGGGUGGACGGCCACACUGGGACUGAGACACGGCCCACACUCCUACGGGAGGCAGCAGUAGGGAAUAUUGCGCAAUGGAGGGAACUCUGACGCAGCGACGCCGCGUGAGCGAUGAAGGUCUUCGGAUCGUAAAGCUCUGUCCUCGGGGAAGAAGGUCACUAAGUGACUUGACGGUACCCGUGGAGGAAGCCCCGGCUAAUUACGUGCCAGCAGCCGCGGUAAUACGUAGGGGGCAAGCGUUGUCCGGAAUUAUUGGGCGUAAAGGGCGCGCAGGCUGCGUUACAAGUCAGCUGUUAAAUGCAUGGGCUUACCCCAUGAGUGCGGUUGAAACUGUAGUGCUAGAGUACUGUAGAGGCAAGCGGAAUUCCCAGUGUAGCGGUGAAAUGCGUAGAUAUUGGGAGGAACACCGGUGGCGUAGGCGGCUUGCUGGACAGUAACUGACGCUGAGGCGCGAAAGCCAGGGGAGCAAACGGGAUUAGAUACCCCGGUAGUCCUGGCUGUAAACGAAGGAUGGUAGGUGUGGGUGUAGCGAUACAUUUGUGCCGUAGUUAACGCGGUAAGCAUUCCGCCUGGGGAGGACGAUCGCAAGAUUGAAACUCAAAGGAAUUGACGGGGGGCCGCACAAGCGGUGGAGCACGUGGUUUAAUUCGAUGCAAACCGAAGAACCUUACCUGGGUUUGACAUGUACGUGUUACUGAGAUGAAAGUUGAGGGACCUAGUUUUCGGAUUAGGAGCGUACACAGGUGCUGCAUGGCUGUCGUCAGCUCGUGUCGUGAGAUGUUGGGUUAAGUCCCGCAACGAGCGCAACCCCUGCAUUCAGUUGCCAUCGGGUGAGGCCGGGCACUCUGAAAGGACUGCCAUCGACAAGAUGGAGGAAGGUGGGGAUGACGUCAAGUCAUCAUGGCCCUUAUAUCCAGGGCGACACACGUGCUACAAUGGCCGGCACAGCGGGAAGCGAGUCAGUGAUGGCAAGCGGAUCCCUCAAAGCCGGUCCCAGUUCGGAUUGAAGUCUGCAACUCGACUUCAUGAAGCAGGAAUCGCUAGUAAUCGCAGAUCAGCCAAGCUGCGGUGAAUACGUUCCCGGGCCUUGUACACACCGCCCGUCA